UGGGGAAUCUUGCGCAAUGGGCGAAAGCCUGACGCAGCGACGCCGCGUGAGUGAUGAAGGCCUUCGGGUUGUAAAGCUCUGUGGGCGGGGACGAAUAAGGGUUGGCUAAUAUCCAACCUGAUGACGGUACCCGUUUAGCAAGCACCGGCUAACUCUGUGCCAGCAGCCGCGGUAAGACAGAGGGUGCAAACGUUGUUCGGAAUUACUGGGCGUAAAGCGCGUGUAGGCUGCUCCGCAAGUCGGAUGUGAAAGCCCUGGGCUCAACCCAGGAAGUGCAUUCGAAACUGCAGAGCUGGAGUCCUGGAGAGGAAGGCGGAAUUCUCGGUGUAGAGGUGAAAUUCGUAGAUAUCGAGAGGAACACCGGUGGCGAAGGCGGCCUUCUGGACAGUGACUGACGCUGAGACGCGAAAGCGUGGGGAGCAAACA
rnacentral:rRNA from 1 species